AUUGAACGCUGGCGGCAGGCCUAACACAUGCAAGUCGAGCGGUAGAGAGGUGCUUGCACCUCUUGAGAGCGGCGGACGGGUGAGUAAUGCCUAGGAAUCUGCCUGGUAGUGGGGGAUAACGUCCGGAAACGGACGCUAAUACCGCAUACGUCCUACGGGAGAAAGCAGGGGACCUUCGGGCCUUGCGUUAUCAGAUGAGCCUGGGUCGGAUUAGCUAGUUGGUGGGGGAAUGGCUCACCAAGGCGACGAUCCGGAACUGGUCUGAGAGGAUGAUCAGUCACACUGGAACUGAGACACGGUCCAGACUCCUACGGGAGGCAGCAGUGGGGAAUAUUGGACAAUGGGCGAAAGCCUGAUCCAGCCAUGCCGCGUGUGUGAAGAAGGUCUUCGGAUUGUAAAGCACUUUAAGUUGGGAGGAAGGGUUGUAGAUUAAUACUCUGCAAUUUUGACGUUACCGACAGAAUAAGCACCGGCUAACUCUGUGCCAGCCGCCGCCGUAAUAC
rnacentral:rRNA from 1 species